rnacentral:snoRNA from 1 species
UGGCUAAAUGAUGAGAAAUUUUUUUAUUUAUACAGUUAUCCCUGUCUUAAUAGAUCAUGUCGAGGAUUUUCACUCUGAAAUGCCU